rnacentral:lncRNA from 7 species
GAGCAGAAGAGGAAACCGAAAUUCGUAAGAUCCAUUUAACCCAGAUUCUUAUGGAUCUUACUGCACUAGGAUAGUACCUAUCAUACUGGUAACCACUGGAAAGUUUGCAUGGUUGUGCACAUAGGAUAUAAAAGAGCGUGUGAACUCUACCUGUCUUGUAGGGAAUGAGAUUGAACAAAUCUCUCCUAAUAUCUAUUUGCUGAAAAGGACUCUGUUGAAUAGGAAUGAAUAUGUGUAAAGCUGGUAUUGGUAUUAGGUUUCACAGUUUCAGUCCUGCUGGAGAUCUAUAAGGAAUCCCAUCUCAGAAGCAGAACUCAUGCAGUUCAACCUUUCCUCAACUGAAGAUUUCAGUGACAGAGAAGAAAAUUGUCUUCAAACCUCAGAUAAUCCCCACUAUGAUUCUGGCUAUUAAGUUACAAGAAGAGAAAGGAAUUGUUUUAAUGACUCUGCCAGUUGGUAAUCCAUGGUCUUGGAAAGCAAACCAAAGUGCAUUGCUUUUCUGUGCACUAACUCAACAGUUCAGUCAGCUGGAACAGACAGAACGGAACACAGAGCCUAAUAACAUUUGCAUUGAUUGGAUGUGAAUUUCAGUUAUUAAAAUCUAGCUGUCC